rnacentral:snRNA from 1 species
AUACUUACCUGGCUGGGGAAUACCAUAAUCUCGAAGGUGUUUGUUCCAGGGCAAGGCUUAUCUGUUGCACUCUACAUGUGCAGGAAACUCGGCUGCUUAAUUUGUGAUGAAGAC